rnacentral:rRNA from 1 species
CAAGCGUUGUCCGGAUUUAUUGGGCGUAAAGCGCUCGCAGGUGGUUCGAUGCGUCGGGCGUGAAAGACCCCGGCUCAACUGGGGAGGGUCGUGCGAUACGGUCGAACUGGAGGCCAGUAGGGGGAUGCGGAAUUCCGGGUGUAGUGGUGGAAUGCGUAGAGAUCCGGAGGAACACCAGCGGCGAAGGCGGCAUCCUGGACUGGUCCUGACACUCAGGAGCGAAAGCGUGGGGAGCGAUCCGG